GAUGAACGCUAGCUACAGGCUUAACACAUGCAAGUCGAGCGGAAACGACGUGAGAGCUUGCUCUCUUCGUAGUCGACCGGCGCACGGGACACUUACGCGUAUUCAACCUGCCUCUGACCUAGGGUUAACCCGUCGAAGCUCGUACCAAUACCGUAUGCCGUCGUCAGAAGUCAUCUGAUGACGAUUAGAGAUUUCGUCGGUGAGUCACGGGGAUGCGGCUGAUUGGCUUGUUGGUGGUGUAACGGCCCACCGAGGAGUCGAUCAGUAGGGGGUCUGAGAGGAAGGUCCCUGAGAGUGGAACUGGGACACGGUCCAAAGACCUACGGGAGGGAGCAGUGAGGGAUAUUGGGCAGUGGGCGUGAGCCUGAACCAGGGAAGUAGCGUGCAGGAUGGCGGCGCUAUGGGUUGUAAACUGCUUUUAGGCGGGGAUAAAGUGAGGGGCGUGUCCGUCUUUGAAGGUACCGGAUGAAUAAGGACCGGCUAAUUCCGUG
rnacentral:rRNA from 1 species